CGGCAGUGAUGAACGGAAAUAAACAAGCUCAACAGAUCUGAGCUUAAUGCUGUGCUGACAACUUCCCCGCUGUACUGAGCCG
rnacentral:snoRNA from 1 species